UACGAAGGGGGCUAGCAUUGCUCGGAAUCACUGGGCGUAAAGCGCACGUAGGCGGCUUUUUAAGUCAGGGGUGAAAUCCUGGAGCUCAACUCCAGAACUGCCUUUGAUACUGAGAAGCUUGAGUCCGGGAGAGGUGAGUGGAACUGCGAGUGUAGAGGUGAAAUUCGUAGAUAUUCGCAAGAACACCAGUGGCGAAGGCGGCUCACUGGCCCGGUACUGACGCUGAGGUGCGAAAGCGUGGGGAGCAAACAGG
rnacentral:rRNA from 1 species